rnacentral:tRNA from 1 species
AGUAGCUCAGUUGGUAGAGCAUGUGAUUUUUAAUCACAGGGUCGGGAGUUCGAUUCUCUUCUGGG